AAAGAUGAGGCAUCUUCAGUCAAAUCGGCAACGUUCCUCCUUCGGGAGAGUACCUCUUCAGUAUCCAAGCACCAUUUUUUUAAUAGCGCUUGGCUUGGAGCAGCGCUCGAGUCCAUAGUGUUUUCAGCAUCAAACGAGAGUUCACUUCCAGAGGGAGUAUCAAGAACUGCUGACUCGGGAUGAUGACAGUUGGAUGUAUCAAGCACAAAGGAGUUAGAAUCUGGG
rnacentral:misc_RNA from 1 species